AUUGAACGCUGGCGGCAUGCCUUACACAUGCAAGUCGAACGGCAGCACGGGGCAACCUGGUGGCGAGUGGCGAACGGGUGAGUAAUGCAUCGGAACGUACCUUUCAGUGGGGGAUAACGUAGCGAAAGUUACGCUAAUACCGCAUAUUCUGUGAGCAGGAAAGCAGGGGAUCGCAAGACCUUGUGCUGAUUGAGCGGCCGAUGUCAGAUUAGCUAGUUGGUGAGGUAAAGGCUCACCAAGGCGACGAUCUGUAGCGGGUCUGAGAGGAUGAUCCGCCACACUGGACCUGGGACACGGUCCAGACCCCUACGGGAGGAAGAGGGGGGAAAUUUUGGACAAUGGGGCAACCCUGAUCCAGCCAUGCCGCGUGAGUGAAGAAGGCCUUCGGGUUGUAAAGCUCUUUCGGCCGGGAAGAAAUCGCACGGGCUAAUACCCUGUGUGGAUGACGGUACCGGAAUAAGAAGCACCGGCUAACUACGUGCCAGCCGCCGCCGUAAAAC
rnacentral:rRNA from 1 species